rnacentral:rRNA from 2 species
UACGAAGGGGACUAGCGUUGUUCGGAAUUACUGGGCGUAAAGCGCACGUAGGCGGAAAUGUCAGUCAGGGGUGAAAUCCCGGGGCUCAACCUCGGAACUGCCUUUGAUACAGCAUUUCUCGAGUCCGAUAGAGGUGAGUGGAAUUCCUAGUGUAGAGGUGAAAUUCGUAGAUAUUAGGAAGAACACCGGUGGCGAAGGCGGCUCACUGGAUCGGUACUGACGCUGAGGUGCGAAAGCGUGGGGAGCAAACAGG